rnacentral:rRNA from 1 species
AACGCUGGCGGCGUGCCUAACACAUGCAAGUCGAACGAGAAAGUCCCCGCAAGGGGAUGAGUAAAGUGGCGACCGGGUGAGUAACACGUGACUAACCUACCUUCAAGUGGGGAAUAACCUCGGGAAACCGGGGCUAAUACCGCAUAACAUCGCAGCCGUAAAGGCGGCGAUCAAAGCAGCAAUGCGCUGGAAGAGGGGGUCGCGGCUGAUUAGCUAGUUGGUGAGGUAACGGCUCACCAAGGCGGUGAUCAGUAUCCGGCCUGAGAGGGCGCACGGACACACUGGAACUGAAACACGGUCCAGACUCCUACGGGAGGCAGCAGUGGGGAAUUUUGCGCAAUGGGGGAAACCCUGACGCAGCAACGCCGCGUGGAGGAUGAAGUCCCUUGGGACGUAAACUCCUUUCGAACGGGACGAUUAUGACGGUACCGUAUGAAGAAGCC